rnacentral:lncRNA from 1 species
AUUCGACUAACUACAAGAAUAAAAUAACAGUCUUUUAAAUCCAAUCUAAAACCAGAUGGUAAUUGAAGAGGAUAAGUGCCAACGACUUUUAUAGUAACUUUUGCUCUAUUACCGACCUGAAGGAUCAUAUCAUCUUUCCUCAACUUUCUACUUUCUAUUAGAUCCUACAUUGAAGUACAUAUAUGAGCACUCGAAUCAGAGUCCAAUAUCCAAUUAGAAAUAGAAAAAAACUAUAAGAUUAGAUUCAAUUACGAGCAUACCUUUUAAAGAUUUAUCAUCUUUUUUGGUCUUUAGGCUCUCCAGG